rnacentral:rRNA from 1 species
CCUAGCGGCAGACGGGUGCGUAACAUGUGGGAAUCUGCCUUUUGGUACGGAAUAACACGGGGAAACCUGUGCUAAUACCGGAUAAGUCCUUACGGAGAAAGCUUUAUGCACCAUUGGAUGAGCCCGCAUUUGAUUAGUUUGUUGGUAGGGUAAUGGCCUACCAAGACUAUGAUCAAUAGCUGAUUUGAGAGGAUGAUCAGCCACAUUGGGACUGAGAUACGGCCCAGACUCC